rnacentral:rRNA from 1 species
GAUGAACGCUGGCGGCGUGCCUAAUACAUGCAAGUCGAGCGAACGGACGCGAAGCUUGCUUCGCUGAUGUUAGCGGAGGACGGGUGAGUAACGCGUGGAUAACCUACCUAUAAGACUGGGAUAACUUCGGGAAACCGGCGCUAAUACCGUAUGAUAUUUUGAACCGCAUGGUUCAAAAGUGAAAGUCGGUGUUGCUGUCACUUAUAGAUGGUUCUGCGCUGCAUUGGCUAGUUGUUAAGGUAAACGCUUACCAAGGGUACCAUGCCUAGCCGACCUGAGAGAGGGAUCGGCCACACGGGAGGGGAGACGCGGUCAUUGCGCCUACGGGAGGCAGCAGAAGGGAAUCGGCCGCAAUGGUCGAAAACCUUACGGAGCGACGGCGCGUGAGUUAUAGAAAUGUUCGGAUCGUAAUACUCUGUUAUGAGUUAAGAACAGAUGUCGAAGGAGCUGAGCAGAGCUUGACGGUACUUAAUCAGAAAGCCACGGCUAACUACGUG